rnacentral:rRNA from 1 species
UACGUAGGGUGCAAGCGUUAAUCGGAAUUACUGGGCGUAAAGCGUGCGCAGGCGGUUUUGUAAGUCUGACGUGAAAUCCCCGGGCUCAACCUGGGAAUUGCGUUGGAGACUGCAAGGCUAGAAUCUGGCAGAGGGGGGUAGAAUUCCACGUGUAGCAGUGAAAUGCGUAGAUAUGUGGAGGAACACCGAUGGCGAAGGCAGCCCCCCUGGGUCAAGAUUGACGCUCAUGCACGAAAGCGUGGGGAGCAAACAGG